AAAUUCCCUCCCGACAGUCCACACCAGAGGAUAUGGUUGCGUUAAUUUGUGGCGCCAAACCAUCACACACUCAGACCCCAACUCUCAAAGGCAUAAAGCACGCAAAAAUUCAAAGCCCACAAAUCCUCAAAGCCAUGAUUCUCUGCAGCUGCUACCCAUUUCUCUCCAAAUCCCCAAUCUUCUCCCUCCCAUUUCCUCCCACCACCAAAACCCCAUUCCCCAUUUCCUCUCUCUGCUGCUCCACAACCCCCUCUUCCGUCCCAGACCCUCAGACCGACACCAAUGACACCAUCAGCGACGGCAGCGGCGGGCCCAACAAGAAGCGGCUUUCUGACCAGUCCUCGUGGGAGGCCAAGGACUCCGAGGGAAACGACUACUUGUACAGGUUGGGCAAAGAGGCUGAUAACAUGAACAUCGCCGUCGGUGCCCGGGCCGGCCUCGUCGACGACCUCUUCGUCGGAAAGUUUCUCGGCCGAGACUCCGAUAUCGUGUUUGAUUAUCGGCAGAAGGUCACCCGGUCCUUCCAGUACCUUCAAGGCGAUUAUUAUAUUGCACCUCUGUUCAUGGAUAAAGUUGUAUGCCAUAUUGCGAAGAACUACCUUGCUCCUCUUCUAAAUACUAAAGUUCCAUUAAUCCUAGGUAUUUGGGGAGGAAAAGGGCAAGGAAAAUCAUUUCAGACUGAACUUAUAUUCCAAGCCAUGGGAGUUGAACCUGUAAUUAUGUCCGCCGGGGAAUUGGAAUCAGAAAGAGCAGGAGAACCGGGAAAAUUGAUACGGGAACGCUAUAGAACAGCUUCUCAAGUGGUCCAGAACCAAGGCAAGAUGAGCUGCUUGAUGAUCAAUGACAUUGAUGCUGGCCUUGGUAGAUUUGGCAACACUCAAAUGACAGUCAACAAUCAAAUUGUUGUCGGAACAUUGAUGAAUCUUUGUGAUAAUCCUACAAGAGUUAGUAUUGGACAAGACUGGCGAGAUUCAGAUAUUACAAACAGAGUUCCUAUCAUUGUUACUGGAAAUGAUUUGUCAAAAAUAUAUGCUCCCUUAAUCCGUGAUGGAAGGAUGGAAAAGUUUUACUGGCAGCCUAACCACGAGGACAUUAUUAAUAUUGUUCACAGAAUGUAUGGGAAAGAUGGCAUGUCUAGGGAUGAAGUUGUAAGGAUAGUGGACACAUUUCCUAAUCAAGCGCUAGAUUUCUAUGGAGCUCUAAGGUCUCGAACAUAUGACCGGUCAAUUUCUAAGUGGGUUGAUGAUAUCGGAGGUGUUGAAAGUCUGGGAAACAAACUUAUAAAGGGAAGGAAAAAUGACAGCCUUCCUGUGUUUACUCCUCCAGAGCAAACAAUGGAGGCUUUACUUGAAUCAGGUUAUUCUCUGAUCAAAGAACAGCAGUUGAUAAUGGAAACCAAACUUUCAAAGGUAUACAUGAAGAACAUGGACGAUUAGAAAUGGGGAUGCCAUUGUUAUGUCGUCCCAUAAUGCUUUGUUAUGCACGGAAUCCAAAAGCAAGUCAGUGAGAAUCCCAAAACCGUAUCUUCGGGAUGCCUUGAAGUUCUUUCUGUUUAUAAAAAGAGGAACCUCUUUAGACGCUUCGGGUCAUUUUUGGCUUGAACUGAAUGUCACUUGUCCCUCACUAAAUUCAGACAGAAUAUGUGCUUCAAAUUAGGUCAACUUUGGCCCCUUGUGGACACACCAAUGAGAGCAAUGUGCCCCCUAAUUAAGAAUCUUGGACAACAAGAAAGCUAGAUGAAUGGCGCAUCGAGGGGAAGAGAAAUUAACCUUCACAAAUAUAGAAGAAAAUUUAAGGAUCUGCGAAUCUUCUAUAACUAAUUAUUUCUUAAGCUAAGAUCUUUGUAACUUUGUAACAUGGAAUCAGUUCUUUAAAGCAUAAUCAAAGACGAUCAUAUCAAAAAAAGACUGAUAGCUUGGUUGAUUAAGAACAUUGAUUAUGGCAGUUUAGGUCUUGAUUCUGCAAAAGCCACCAUCUCUAAAGAAUUACAAUUUUUUUUU